GACGAACGCUGGCGGCGUGCUUAACACAUGCAAGUCGAACGAAGUGGCGAACGGGUGAGUAACGCGUAAUCAACCUGCCCUUCAGAGGGGGACAACAGUUGGAAACGACUGCUAAUACCGCAUACUGAAGGAUGGACUCGCGUCCUAUCAGCUUGUUGGUGGGGUAGUGGCCUACCAAGGCGACGACGGGUAGCCGGCCUGAGAGGGUGGUCGGCCACAUUGGGACUGAGAUACGGCCCAGACUCCUACGGGAGGCAGCAGUGGGGGAUAUUGCACAAUGGGCGCAAGCCUGAUGCAGCGACGCCGCGUGAGGGAUGAAGGCUUUCGGGUUGUAAACCUCUUUCGGUACAGAACGGGUAUGUGCAGAAGAAGCGCCGGCUAACUACGUGCCAGCAGCCGCGGUAAUAC
rnacentral:rRNA from 1 species